GACGAACGCUGGCGGCGUGCCUAAUACAUGCAAGUUGAGCGCUGAAGGUUGGUACUUGUACCAACUGGAUGAGCAGCGAACGGGUGAGUAACGCGUGGGGAAUCUGCCUUUGAGCGGGGGACAACAUUUGGAAACGAAUGCUAAUACCGCAUAAAAACUUUAAACACAAGUUUUAAGUUUGAAAGAUGCAAUUGCAUCACUCAAAGAUGAUCCCGCGUUGUAUUAGCUAGUUGGUGAGGUAAAGGCUCACCAAGGCGAGGAUACAUAGCCGACCUGAGAGGGGGGUCGGCCAAAUUGGGACUGAGACAAGGCCCAAACUCCUACGGGAGGGAGCAGUAGGGGAUCUUCGGGAAUGGACGAAAGGCUGACCGAGCAACGCCGCGGGAGUGAAGAAGGGUUUCGGAUCGGAAAACUCUGUUGGUAGAGAAGAACGUUGGUGAGAGUGGAAAGCUCAUCAAGUGACGGUAACUACCCAGAAAGGGACGGCUAACUACGUG
rnacentral:rRNA from 1 species